UACAGGCCUGCCCUGGAGGUUGGAGCUGGAGCUGCGGAUGUGGGUUGUGGUGGAUGAGGCUGGAGGUGCGGCCCAGGAAGGGAGGAGCCGGAGGGCCCAAAGUCCAAGGAGGCCUGCACUCACAGGAGGCCGCCCCCAGGCCUAAGGAGGGGUGGGUGUGGUGCAGCGCCCAGCCUACCCGGAGGUUUUAAAGACCUGAGGGAGCCGUGGGUGAGGGCGACGGGAGGGGCUCUGCAUGGAGGCUGGCAACUCCCAGGGCUGCUCUUCAGUACAGGUCCACACCUGUCCUGUUGGCAUACUGCGAGAAGAGCGCCUAUAAGCAUGUCGCUUGACCAUGGGGACACAGCCCACCCUUACUCCCAUACUUAAACCUCAUUCAGGAAACCGGGAACUUCCCCCCAAAUCAAGGGUGAAAAAGAGGCUUCUGGAAUGUAAGGACAAGAAUGAUGGAUCCACAGAAAAUGACUUAUGCAGCCACACUUCGAAUUUCUGCAAAUCCUUUGUAUGAAGGCAGUAUGCAGGGCUGUGUUGGAAUAACUGGAGUGGACAUUUAAUGACAACCAAACCUGCACUGGCAAGCAUGAAACCCUUACUGUGGCUCAGGGACCUGUCUGUGAACCCAGGUGAAGUUCUGGCUCAGUUAAAAGGUAACGUGAUCCAAGUUUCAAGCAAAAUGGAAUUGUCAUGGUCAGAAGCAGAUCGAUAGGGCAAAUCAUAUGAAAUCAAAAAGCCAUCAAAAGCCAUCUGCAAAGUUUCUUCUAUUUAUGUCUAGUGUUCUAGUCACCUAUUGCUGCAUAUCAAACCACCUGAAACUCUGGUAGGUUACAACAACCACUUUAUUAUUAUCUCAUAGCUUUUGUGGAUCAGGAAUUCAGGCUGGGCACCAACUAUGGUUGCCUGGAGGUACUCAGCUGGCAUAUGAGCUUGUCUGAAGGGUCUGAGAUGGCUUCACACACAUGGCAGGCUCAUGGGUGGACAUGGCUGCAAGACUGGGCUCAGCAGGGACUGUUGAUCAGAGAACUAAGUCUCCAGUGAACAAAGUGGAAGCUACAUGGUUUUUGAUGACCUAGAGUAAGAGGAACAAAAUAUGACUUCUGCCAUACUACUUAUCAAAGCAGUCACAAGCAUACUUAGAUUCUAGGGGAAAGGACUUGGGCCCAAUCCCUCAAUGGCUGAGUGUUUAAAAGUACAACAUCCAGCCUGGGUUAGAAGCCAAGAAGGGGAGUCAGGGCCUGCAGGCUUUCUCUAAAUCUGAGAUUAUAGCUGCAGCUGCUUUGCCAGGGGUUUUGUGACCUUGGGCGGGGAAGAAACCAGGAAAUGAGGGAUCUGGCAGGGCUAAAAUCCCUGCUUGCCUGACAGUGCUCCCUGCUUCUGUUUUGCAUGGCUGGCACACAGCACUGCAGUCAUGACUGAAGGGCUGAGUGAAGGCUCUCACCUGCUCAAGAUGCUGGUCCCUGAGAGCUGAGAAAGAGGGAGGAGGCCAGAGUGGAAGGGUUUGGCUGAUUUGAGCAAUGCGCAAAUUGAGCAAGGAUCAAAAGCCUGAGAGAUAGUGCCUGUUGUUGCUCAUCACAUAGAAGUUCUGCAGCAAAAGAAAAAAAAAAAGAUCUGCAGCUGACCUUAGGCUCAAUGGGACAGUCUCACCUCCCAAAGUGUCUGCAUCUCCCAAGGCAAGGCCACCCUUGCCUGGGCCACCCAAUUCUGAUGUCCAAUCCUGGAGAAAAGUCCAAGUAACAGUUUCUUACACAUCUAUGGAUGGGUGCCUAGCACAGGAGUGUCCUCAGAGGAGGCCACCAAAAAAAUACACUCAUCAAUUUUAUGUUUGUGUUCUUCUUUCUUUUGUCAUUUACUGCAUUAGAAUUAGAAACUUAGAAAUAGAUUGCAGUGGGAGGUUGGUCAUGAAAGGAAGGGAAAGAAAGGCAUCUAUUGUUGCCAAAAACAACUUCCUGGCGUUGAACUGUGGCCCAGCCUAGCAUCUGGGAGUAGAACGGUCCAAUCCCAUAGAGAUCCACUCAGCCAUGAUCCCUUUACUCAAAGUGAAUUUGAAAUGUUUGAUAUGAUCCCAGUUGAACUAAUUAUUUCCCUCCAUAUUUGCACAGAUUUAAUCAAAUGAUGGAUGGAUAGACUUAUAUGUCCUAGGCACUUGCAUGUAUACUAAUCCAUCAGUCCUUACAAAAACUCCAAGACAUACAUGCACUCAUCCGUAUUUUACCACAGAAGAAACGGAGUGAACCAAAUGAACACCCAGAUUUGUCUUUUUCCCAAGCCCCUUUCUAUUUUCGCUCUGGCUCUGGGGUGACUCUACAUCACCAGUCACUCCAUCCCAUGGGCUAGAACGUAGGCCAGCAAUGUGGACCCCUCCCUCUCCCCAUGUCUGUCAGUAGGAAGGCCCCAAAUGGUCUCCAUUCUCAGUGCUUUUUCAUGAACACUGUUCUUACUCUCUGAUAACAAACUCAUUCUUGCAUCUUUCAUCCUUCGUCACUCGGGCUAUUGUGCCAGCCUCCUGGCCAGUCUGUCUGUCUCAACUCCCCUGUUCUCUGUCCAUCCUCCAUACUAUAACCAGAAAGCUGAAACACAGAUCUGAUCAUAUAAGCCUUUGCCCAUAAAUUUUCAAUCUUUCUCCACAACCUACAGAAUAAAUGACUAAUCCUGGAGCCUGAUGUUCAAGGCUGUCUAUGAUCUCCUCCUGAUCAACAUGUCUCAUCUCAUAUACCACUAUCUCCUUUCACUGGUAUUUUGCAAACCAGAAUCAAUAAAACCCUGACCAUUUUCUAUAAGAGUGGAGUUCUAUAUAAUAUAUUGAAAAUUUCUGUCUUUAUUUCAGUGGUAAUCUUAAGAGGAAAGUGUUUGCCUCUGUGUGUGUGUGUGUGUGUGUGUGUGCUCAGUCGUGUCCAACUCUUUGGACCCUAUGGACUGUAGCCCACCAGGCUCCUCUGUCCAUGGAAUUCUCCAGGCAAGAAUACUGGAGUGGGUUGCCAUUUCCUCCUCCAGGGCAUCUUCCAACCCAGGGAUGGAACCCACGUCUCCUUCAUUUGCAGGUGGAUGCCUCCUCAUGGGUCUUCACUUUGUUUUCUUCGUUCCAGCAAUCCAUCAGAUCACAAAAUCCAAGUUAGCCAGAUCCCUGCUCGGUCACCUUGGCUCAUGUUGCCCCUUGGGUUUAGAAUGCUUCCCACACCUUCCACUUCCACACUCAGCUCCUACCCACCACCACUCCCCAGCUUCAUCAUGCUUCUCAGUAGGGGUAGCUCCAGGUAGAGCUUCAGGUGUUAAGAUCUCCAACCUGGAGUGGACAUUGUAGGUCAUAUUGGGCUCAUUUUACAGUCAGGAAAAUCUAGACCCAGAGAAGACAAGCAACAAACUAGGCCUAGAACCCAGGCCUCCUGACACUGUAUAUGGAGCUCUUUUCACUUACUCUUUGCAACUUACUGAUCACCUUCCUUAAAGUUUUAUUGUCCAUCUUUGGAUUGGAUCACUGGCAUGGUGGCAUGCAGGGUAAAUUCUCAGUUUCCCUAACAUCAUGACAGACAAAGCCAUAAAACCACAGUAAUUACCUAGCAUAUUCAUAUGUCUAAGGGACCACAGUGGAAUAUCCCAUGGGAGUUGAAUGCGAGGAGCAUUUCACAUUUCUGAACUUUGGACAAUGUAGGCUACUCAAAUGAAUGCCAGGCAGAUUUACUCUUGAGACAUCUAGAAUUAUAUGCUGAUUUAUUGAAUCUACUAUAAUGUCCCCAAAUCAAUUUUUAAACAUUUUUGCAAACCAGAACACGAUACAGAAGCAAUAUAGCAGUUAGUUCAGUGCUCUGAAGUUAGUAAAUAUUCACUAAAUGUGAGUUGGAUGAAUGGAUGUGUCACAGACUGGGAAGCCAGGACACCUGAGUGACAGUCUCAUUCUUCUGCUCACUGGCCACAAGGUCUUGGGAAAACCACUUGUUACUCAUGAAGCCUUAGUCUGUUCAUGUAAAAUGAGGCAUUUGGACCAACUCAGUGUCUCUGAGAUACAUUCCUUACAGUUAUAAAAUUAUAUAAUUUCAUAAAAAUGCCAAAUCUAUUCAUACUGUUGGUAUCAAUGGAAAGUAAAAAUAGAACGAGUGUUUAUUAACUGUUCUUGUUUUGUUUCAUUGUUUAUUAUAUACAUCACUUUACAUUAUUUCAGACUAUUGUGUAUUUUAGUUAUUGCAAUUAACUUUUGAAGAAAAUAUUAUUGUAACAAUAACAGUAUUUUUAGCAUAAAUAAAAACUGACUUGGAGAAACUGCUUUAUUAACACAGCAAGAUGUCAUCUUCUAGGCUUGUUUGGAUUACAACUGCUUUAAAACAUUGGGAAAUAGGCAGUAUAAAACUGAUCCCUGAGAGAAAGGAUCAAUAAGAUGAGCCUUAAAAUACCUCUGGAUUUAUCCUUGGAGGCAGUUCCCAUCUGGAAAUUAUGAGCACAAUCUGCAAGCUUUGAUAAGCAGAGGAGACAGAACCCAGAGACUGGGGAAGCUGAAGAGGCUAGGAGUUGAGGAUCACAAUUUCACAAAAGAGGGGCAAUACACAGGAAAAGAACACCAUAAGUCUGCUGAGAUAUCCUCUUGAGUCUGUUGAGAAUUAUUAUGUGUAUGUAUAAGGUGAAACUCUACAAAAUGAGGCAAAAGAAAUGACCAGAGAGUAGUAAGCUGAACAACCCAGAGUUCUCACAAGGUGGCAAUGCUUGUGUACCAAACAAAAUGGAGAGUUCUUCAUGAUCCCCUGGCCAAUUGACGGAGAGCCCAGGGGAGUCAUACUUGAGUAGACAUCCUGGAGUGAAGGUUACUUUGGACCCUGAAUAGCAAAGCUCAAAGACAGGACUCAAACGGAUCAAACUAUUUCAUGAGUAAAUUAACUUCCAGCCAAAACAAAGUCUCAGUUCAGUUCAGUUCAGUUCAGAUCAGUCACUCAGUUGUGUCCGACUCUUUGUGACCCCAUGAACUGCAGCACGCCAGGCCUCCCUGUCCAUCACCAACUCCCGGAGUUCACUCAAACUCACGUCCAUCGAGUCGGUGAUGCCAUCCAGCCAUCUCAUCCUCUGUCGUCCCCUUCUCCUCCUGCCCUCAAUCCCUCCCAGCAUCAGAGUCUUUUCCAAUGAGUCAACUCUUUGCAUGAGGUGGCCAAAGUAUUGGAGUUUCAGCUUUAGCAUCAGUCCUUCCAAAGAACACCCAGGACUGAUCUCCUUUAGAAUGGACUGGUUGGAUCUCCUUGCAGUCCAAGGGACUCUCAGGAGUCUUCUCCAACACCACAGUUCAAAAGCAUCAAUUCUU
ensembl:lncRNA